GUGGGGGAUAUUGCACAAUGGGGGGAACCCUGAUGCAGCGACGCCGCGUGGGUGAAGGAGCGUUUCGGCGCGUAAAGCCCUAUCGGCAGGGAAGAAAAAGAGCUGAAGCUCUUGGGACGGUACCUGACUAAGAAGCCCCGGCUAACUACGUGCCAGCAGCCGCGGUAAUACGUAGGGGGCAAGCGUUAUCCGGAUUUACUGGGUGUAAAGGGAGCGUAGACGGCGCGGCAAGUCUGGAGUGAAAGCCCGGGGCCCAACCCCGGGACUGCUCUGGAAACUGUCGUGCUGGAGUGCGGGAGGGGCAGGCGGAAUUCCUGGUGUAGCGGUGAAAUGCGUAGAUAUCAGGAGGAACACCGGCGGCGAAGGCGGCCUGCUGGACCGUGACUGACGUUGAGGCUCGAAAGCGUGGGGAGCAAACAGGA
rnacentral:rRNA from 1 species